GUGAAUCAUCAAAUUUUUGAACGCAAAUUGCGCUUCCUGGCAUCCCGGGAAGUAUGCCUGUUUGAGGGUCAGUAUUAAUAACAAAUCGGUUUAGUUACAAAUUGUGACGUUUCCGGAGUUUGAGCUAUCUUAACAUUUUUGGUUAAGAGGAUUAAAAUUGACCUUUUUUGUGCUUUUUUAAACGAACAUAAAUUUUUUUUUAUUCGUCUAUUCUUAUUGCAAAAUUCUUAUUAGAUGCGAUCACAUGGUGUGCCUUCG
rnacentral:misc_RNA from 1 species